AUUGAACGCUGGCGGCAGGCCUAACACAUGCAAGUCGAACGAGUGGCGCACGGGUGAGCAAUGUCUGUGAAACUGCUCGAUGGAGGGGGAUAACUUUUGGAAACGGUAGCUAUUACCGCGUAUGACCUGACGUGCCCACAUGGGAUUUGCUCGUAGGUGAGGUAACGGCUCACCCAGGCGACGAUCCCUAGCUGGUCUGAGAGGAUGACCAGCCACACUGGAACUGAGACACGGUCCAGACGCCUACGGGAGGCAGCAGUGGGGAAUAUUGCACAAUGGGCGCAAGCCUGAUGCAGCCAUGCCGCGUGUAGGAAGAAGGCCUUCGGGUUGUAAAGUACUUUCAGCGGGGAGGCGUUACCCGCAGAAGAAGCACCGGCUAACUCCGUGCCAGCAGCCGCGGUAAUAC
rnacentral:rRNA from 1 species